GCCUCUCCAAACUGCUCCACAUCUGGGCUCUCUCACUUUGGCAUGGGGACCAGCCACAAGUGAUUGGUGCAGUAGGGAGCUGGCAGCCUACUCCAUACCUGCCAGCCACACUCCUGAAGCUUCUCUAACUGUGCUGAGCCUCUGGCCUCAGUUUCCUCAUUUGCAGUGUCUGACAAUGACAGCAUCCUUGACCGCGUGAUGAGGAUGAGAACAACUUUUCCAGCAUGCACCUGCACCAGGACCAACCCACAAGGGGCAGAGUGUGAAGUCCCAAGGCAGGAGCUUUCUGUCCCCACCACCCUUAUAUCCUGACACUGAGAGGAGGAGAUGCUCAGUAAAUCACUAGGAUAACUUCAGAUGAAGAUGUGGAUCGCCAGGCAGGAGAGCCACCCUGCCGAAGCUGAGACAACAC
rnacentral:lncRNA from 1 species